rnacentral:lncRNA from 1 species
UGUGUUCGAUUUAGUUACUGCAUGAAGCUUUAGCCAAGUGCCUUGAUUUAACCCUAUUAUUCCACUUUGUAUCUUAAGGAACACGUUUAAGGACAAGAAGAUGGAGAGAUGACCAAAAAGAAAAUACUAGUAAAGCUAACGGAGUUUUGAAGCUUUUCUAGUUAUAUUGCUCAAUCCAAAUCCAUUUACAAGGAAUGCAGCAUAGAUGCUUUCAAAAUCCUAUUUUAGUUUUUUUUCCCGUACUCCUAAAAAUUUUCUUUAGGUUUGUUAUGCAUGCUCAGUGGCAGGAAUGUCAUCACAGGACUAUUUUCUAUUUUUUAGGAUUCAAGUAAAACAAGAAAAGAGUGGUUCUGUAAUGGAAUGAUAAUUGCCUUUUGCUAAGUGUGAAAAAUAUGGCGACAUUCUUCAGGAGUUGAGAUCCAUGAAUAAUCGAAAGAGGAAUUAAAUUAUCUAUGACGCUGGGAUUGCUGAUUUGAAAAUUAAUUAGAAAAUUUCGAAAGAACUGACAAAUUUAGGUUUUCUUGCAUUCGUUGAGCAAUGCUAUUAUCAA